AGGAGUGUGAGGAGCGAACAGAACUGAAAAAACUCUUGGGGUCGAAACACGGCAAGACUCCCAAGAGUUUUUUCUAUUU
rnacentral:sRNA from 1 species